rnacentral:rRNA from 1 species
AGAGUUUGAUCCUGGCUCAGGAUGAACGCUGGCCGCGUGCCUAACACAUGCAAGCCGAACGAAUCUUGACGGAUGAUUUCUUCGGAAUGAAACCAGAUAUGACUUAGUGGCGGACGGGUGAGUAACACGUGAGCAACCUGCCUUUCAGAGGGGGAUAACGGCUGGAAACGGUCGCUAAUACCGCAUGAUGUGUUCGGAUGGCAUCAUCUGAACAUCAAAGAUUUAUCGCUGAAAG